rnacentral:rRNA from 1 species
GACGAACGCUGGCGGCGUGCUUAACACAUGCAAGUCGAACGGAAAGGCCCUGCUUUUGUGGGGUGCUCGAGUGGCGAACGGGUGAGUAACACGUGAGUAACCUGCCCUUGACUUUGGGAUAACUUCAGGAAACUGGGGCUAAUACCGGAUAGGAGCUCCUGCUGCAUGGUGGGGGUUGGAAAGUUUCGGCGGUUGGGGAUGGACUCGCGGCUUAUCAGCUUGUUGGUGGGGUAGUGGCUUACCAAGGCUUUGACGGGUAGCCGGCCUGAGAGGGUGACCGGCCACCUUGGGACUGAGAUACGGCCCAGACUCCUACGGGAGGCAGCAGUGGGGAAUAUUGCACAAUGGGCGGAAGCCUGAUGCAGCAACGCCGCGUGCGGGAUGACGGCCUUCGGGUUGUAAACCGCUUUCGCCUGUGACGAAGCGUGAGUGACGGUAAUGGGUGAAGAAGCACCGGCUAACUACGUG